CUGAAAGUGGUGCUCAACCCACUACCGAGACAAUUAAUAUUAUCGUCGGGGCAUAGCAUCUGGAGGAGACACAAAUAGUGGGCGAAAACAGUAUGCUCGCCAACAUGCUCAUAUCCCAGGGAAAUCCCGUGAUGAAGUCAAAGACAUCACUUUUGGAGCAAGAGAUUUGGAAGGAAUAUCAUAUCUCCAUGACGAUGCCUUGGUCGUCUCUGCGGUUGUGGCUAACUUCGAAGUAAAGAGGAUACUGGUUGAUAAUGGGAGUGCAGCAAAUAUACUCUCGCAGGAGGCUUUCGUAAAAAUGGGGAUCUCUCCCAAACAACUCAAAGCAGUAAAAACUCCUCUACAAGGAUUUGGUGGUGGAGUCAUUAUCCCUGAGGGCAUCGUCGAGCUCCUACUUACAU
rnacentral:lncRNA from 1 species